ensembl:lncRNA
UGCUCAUUUGUGCCCACAUGAAAAGAACUGCCAGGAUGCCCAGGACACCAGCCCCCCUGGCUUCUGCGGUGCUUGUGCAGUCCUGAAUCCGCCCGAGAGCUGUGGAUCUGUGUCCACUGGCUGCAUAGCCGACUGCCGACUCCAUGGAGGGGCCUGUGCCGGAGAACACUCACAUGUUGACUUCUUUCUUCAGUCUAGGCCUUUCUUGGCCCCCUUGGUUAUUCAUUCUACAUGAUACACCUCUUAUUGUAGUUCAAAUGUGUCAUGGAAGAGGCAUUGAAGAGAGAGUGGAUGCCCGUGUUUGUUGGCAGUAGGUAGCUUUUAACACUCCGGCUGUAGGAAAAGAACAAAAGGAGAAAUUACAUCUAUUUCUCAUAUUUAAGGGAAAAGCAAUUAAAUUACCAAAGUCAGAUUCUCGAGUAAUUGCUGGGCCCUCGGAGGGGCAGGCAAGGUGAAGUGUGAGGCCCCAGAUCUCUGUCUUGCGUGGGGCUGACGUUGCCUGUUGGGGACUCCAAGCAGAGGCGGGGCCAGGGAAGGCAGCCUGCGGGGAGAAACCCAGAGCCCCUUGCCAGCCUCCCGUCCCAGCUGCUAUCCAUGCACUUGUGUAGCUUCCCGGCUGUCCUGGGGCCAGGCAAGAGGUAGCAGGGCUCCAGCUACAGAAGUUAUAGGAGGCGACUCUCAGAGCCUUGAUUUCCUGCAUUUGAAAUACUGAGAACAGUGUCUUCCAUGCCUACUUUCUAAAAGCUGUUAUGAAGAUUACCUAGACUCAUACCUGUGAAGGCUGGUGAAAGAAUAAAGCAGCGGAAACACACAAGGUGUUAAAAAACUUCCCUUCCAACUAAUUAGUAGAUGAGUUCGAAUCCCAAGCAUACGGACAGCAGCAGUCACAGCAGAGGGGUGGGGGCCCCAGCCCUUACCAGGUGACCUCCCAUCAGUCAGGAGGACAAUGGCAUGUGGCAGUGCCGAGCACCACCUGGCUGGGAUCAGUUCUCUUGCCUUCCUUUCUCCUUCCCCGGCCUGGGUCGGUAGCACGGUCCGGAGAGCCAGCAGACGCCCUUUCCCAGUGUGCGGAGGCAGAGGAGCUGUCUGAAGGUGCAGAGCGGCCGCUGCCAACGCGGCUCGGGAUCAGGAGCUGCCCUGCACCCAGUGAUCUCUGCAAAUCAGUGCUCAUCCAGAAGGAAAACCGAUUUACAUUGGGGGAAGAGGAAACUAUUCCCAAGAUCAAUUUAAAAAGACAACUGGGCCACACAAACUUACCAAAGCCCAUACCCAGUGAUUAAGUGGUUCUGCCCACGUAAAUCAAGUGUGUGCUGUAGCACACAAGUCUCCAAGUGAAAGAAGACCUGUCUAGUAUUUUUCGUAUACACUUUCUGAAACACAAAAACAAAAGUAAAAACAAGUAUGGUGGUAGCUUUGGUGCCCAAAGCAAAAACCUUCAAAACCAAACACUUAAACUACACUGGUAUUGUGAGAAUAAAUGCUGGUGUUCAGGAAUAAAUACUGUACCAAAAACGCUGAUUAAAAUAUUAAUAAAGCCUUA